GGAUGGUUCAAGGAGAGGGGGAGAUGCAGGUCACACUAGGCAGAGCCUUUACCUGCCACCCUAGGGAGCAAGCACUGUCAGAAGUCUGGAUCUAGGAACCACUGGGUUCCCUGCCGCAGAGAGCCCAGCAGCUCUUGCUUUUAGUGGCUGCUGAGACCAGUGGAAAGGAGGCAGGUCCCACCAUCUCCCACUGGAGGCCCAGAAAUGCCUCUCCACACCCAAAAAGAGAGAGAUGGGGGUGAUCCCCAUGGCUUGGCUCUAUUUGGGGGGGGGGUCAGCAAGAGUUGGCAGUGGGUUUUCCCUGUCCCAGGGGGAGAAUGCCUGGGCUUCAGCCCUUGCUAGUCAGCACAGAGCAGCGCAGAUUCUCACCGUGGCAACUUUAUUACAAGUACAGACAUCAAAAGUGACAGCAAGGCCCAAUAGCCCCUUCCGCGACUCGGCCAAAAAGAAAGAUGCAGCGACGCGAGAAUCAUUUAUUCGAUACAGUCCCCCCACCCCACCCCAAGCUUUAGUCUUCGGGCAGCAAGGCAAACAGGCUAAUAAAAGCAACAGCUAGGACUAUAUAAAUCGAGAAGGAAUUAAAAGACAGAUCACUAGGCUCCAGGACUGGUUAGAAUACUUUGUUUGAGUGUCUCUUGACUCACUGAAGCUCACCAGCAAGAGAGAGAGACAGAAAGAGAGAACCACUCCAUUCUAAAAAAAAAAAAAAA